GGGGGAAUAGCUCAGGGACAGAGCUUGUGCUUAGCAUACAUGUGAUCCUGGGUUCAAUUCCCAGUACCUCCA
rnacentral:tRNA from 1 species